rnacentral:rRNA from 1 species
AGAGUUUGAUCCUGGCUCAGGAUAAACGCUGGCGGCGCACAUAAGACAUGCAAGUCGAACGGAAGUCGUUAUAAAAAGGAUUGAAGAUUUAUCUGAUUGAGAUUUUAUAACAAUGGCUUUAGUGGCGGACUGGUGAGUAACGCGUGAGCAACCUGCCUACUAGAGGGGAAUAACAGUGAGAAAUCAUUGCUAAUACCGCAUAUGCCAUGAACAUCACAUGAUGAAAAUGGGAAAAGAGUAAUCUGCUAGUAGAUGGGCUCGCGUCUGAUUAGAUAGUUGGUGGGGUAACGGCCUACCAAGUCGACGAUCAGUAGCCGGACUGAGAGGUUGAACGGCCACAUUGGGACUGAGAUACGGCCCAGACUCCUACGGGAGGCAGCAGUCGGGAAUAUUGCGCAAUGGAGGAAACUCUGACGCAGUGACGCCGCGUAUAGGAAGAAGGUUUUCGGAUUGUAAACUAUUGUCGUUAGGGAAGAUACAAGACAGUACCUAAGGAGGAAGCUCCGGCUAACUACGUGCCAGCAGCCGCGGUAAUACGUAGGGAGCAAGCGUUAUCCGGAUUUAUUGGGUGUAAAGGGUGCGUAGACGGGACAACAAGUUAGUUGUGAAAUCCCUCGGCUUAACUGAGGAACUGCAACUAAAACUAUUGUUCUUGAGUGUUGGAGAGGAAAGUGGAAUUCCUAGUGUAGCGGUGAAAUGCGUAGAUAUUAGGAGGAACACCGGUGGCGAAGGCGACUUUCUGGACAAUAACUGACGUUGAGGCACGAAAGUGUGGGGAGCAAACAGGAUUAGAUACCCUGGUAGUCCACACCGUAAACGAUGGAUACUAGGUGUAGGAUGAUUUCAUUUUCUGUGCCGUCGCAAACGCAGUAAGUAU